rnacentral:rRNA from 1 species
UACGGAAGGGGCUAGCGCUAUUCGGAAUUACUGGGCGUAAAGAGCGCGUAGGCGGCUUACCAAGUUGGGGGUGAAAUCCCGGAGCUCAACUCCGGAACUGCCUUCAAAACUGGUAGGCUCGAGUCCGGAAGAGGGGCGUGGAAUUCCCAGUGUAGAGGUGAAAUUCGUAGAUAUUGGGAAGAACACCGGUGGCGAAGGCGGCGCCCUGGUCCGGUACUGACGCUGGGGCGCGAAAGCGUGGGGAGCAAACAGG